AUGCCAUCAUUGCCACAAUUGGCCCAGUUCUGGCUGAAAGGGAACAUGCCAUUGCCGACAGGAGGCCAGGAGUGCCAACAUGAGGCAACAUUUGGGUCAACUGUCACCAUUACUCAAGCGCUGAACUGUGCUAUUCUCAGGAAAGCCACUGCUGUUCCAUGUGCUUUACCUCCUUCUCUUCCUGUCCCGCUGUUCCCUACGUUGCAGGCAGAGAAGAAGGCGAAACUGGUGUCUGUGAUGAACUCAAUGGGAGGACCAUGGCGAGGUAGAGUCAGAGCCUCAAAAAGACAGCUCCAUAAUCAACGUCCCACUACUCUUUUCUCCACCAACACUGCCAACGCAGCAGCAACCACCACAGCCUCAAGCUCAAACUCAGACCAACCUCAAACCCCAGCCUUCUCCCCAACAGCAACCUCCACCUUUCCAACAGCAACAGCAGCAGCAGCCUACGGACCCAGCCUCUCCAACUGUUGCCACCACCCCAGAGCCCGUAUCUAUAGGGGACAGAAACAAGACCUCACCCAAGUCCACUGACACAGAGUUGGAGUACGAGGAUGGCCGAGGUUUCGGCAUUGGUGAGCUAGUCUGGGGAAAGUUACGAGGAUUCUCUUGGUGGCCUGGACGGAUCGUGUCCUGGUUAAUAACUGGACGCAGUCGGGCGGCUGAAGGAACUAGAUGGGUCAUGUGGUUCGGUGACUGCAAGUUUUCUGUGGUCUGUGUUGAGAAACUGUUGCCUUUAAGUUCCUUCCACAACGCCUUUCACCAGCCAACCUACAAUAAACAACCAAUGUACAAGAAAGCCAUUUUUGAGGUGCUACAGGUAGCUGGCACUAGAUCAGGCAAAAACUUCCUCAUGGUUACGGUGAGUGAUGACACAGACCCUUCCAAGUCUGAAGACAUGCAAAUCAAAAAGAUGAUUGAAUGGGCCAUGACAGGAUUUCCACCCACAGGACCUAAAGGUCUAGAGCCGCCUGAAGAGGAGCGUAUCCCCUACAAGGAAGUGUAUCCAGAGAUGUGGGUGGAGCCAGAGGCGGCGGCCUACACGCCCCCACCAGCUAAAAAGCCCCGCAAGAGCACAGCCACAGAGAAACCCAAGGUCAAAGACAUCAUCGACGAGCGGACUCGAGAGAGGCUUGUAUACGAAGUUCGUCAGAAAUGUAGAAACAUUGAAGACAUCUGCAUCUCCUGUGGCAGCCUUAAUGUUUCCCUGGAGCACCCACUCUUCAUCGGAGGAAUGUGCCAAAGCUGUAAGAACUGCUUCCUAGAAUGUGCGUAUCAGUACGAUGACGAUGGCUACCAGUCCUAUUGUACAAUCUGCUGUGGAGGGAGGGAAGUGCUCAUGUGUGGAAACAGUAACUGUUGCAGGUGUUUCUGUGUGGAAUGUGUGGAUCUGUUGGUGGGCCCCGGCGCGGCGCAGGCAGCUAUUAAAGAAGACCCGUGGAACUGCUAUAUGUGUGGGACAAAGCAUCAGUGCGGUCUGCUGGAGCGCCGGAUGGAUUGGCCUUGUAGACUGCAGCGCUUCUUUGGCAACAAUCAUGACCAGGAUUUUGCACCACCAAAGCUCUACCCUCCGGUUUUGGCAGAGAAGAGGAAACCCAUUCGUGUGCUGUCACUUUUUGAUGGGAUCGCAACAGGGCUGCUGGUUCUGAAGGAGCUGGGUAUCCAGGUGGAGCGUUACGUGGCCUCAGAAGUGUGCGAGGACUCCAUCACUGUGGGUCUCGUUCGGCACCAGGGCCGCAUCAUGUACGUGGGUGAUGUUAGAAACGUCUCCCGGAGAAACAUCCAGGAAUGGGGUCCUUUUGAUCUCGUCAUCGGUGGAAGCCCAUGCAAUGACUUGUCCAUAGUGAAUCCAGCAAGAAAAGGUCUCUUCGAGGGCACAGGUCGACUCUUCUUCGAGUUUUACCGGCUGUUACACGAGGCCCGACCUAAAGAGGGAGAUCACAGGCCGUUCUUCUGGCUCUUUGAGAAUGUGGUGGCCAUGGGCGUCAGCGACAAGAGGGACAUCUCUCGCUUUUUAGAGUGCAACCCAGUGAUGAUUGAUGCCAAGGAGGUGUCUGCUGCCCACAGAGCUCGCUACUUUUGGGGUAACCUGCCUGGCAUGAACAGACCUUUGGCUGCCAUGUGCAAUGAUAAACUGGACCUUCAAGACUGUUUGGAGCAUGGCAGGACAGCUAAGUUUGAUAAAGUGCGGACCAUCACCACUCGGUCUAAUUCUAUAAAGCAAGGCAAAGACCAGCACUUCCCUGUCUUCAUGAAUGACAAAGAGGACAUCCUGUGGUGCACUGAGAUGGAGAGGGUGUUCGGCUUCCCUGUCCAUUACACAGACGUGUCAAACAUGAGUCGUCUGGCCAGGCAGAGGCUGCUGGGAAGGUCUUGGAGCGUCCCGGUCAUCCGUCACUUGUUUGCACCACUCAAAGAGUAUUUCGCCUGCGUCUGAACUCAAAUCCAGUACAGAUGAAAAAAAAAUUGCAACCGAUGUUAUACCAAGAGCUUUGAAACCAAGCUCUCGUAUGUUAUCCGCAAGUUUGACAUCAGAAAAAUUGUUGUUGUUUUUUUUCUUCUGGUUUGGAAUGAUUGACUCUGUUUAAUUCUAUUUAAU